GAUUUCUGGCUUGGUGCGCCUGGCCCGCCACGGUUACGUGUGUGAGUGCUGGGUCGCGUCUGCCAUCCUUCUAGAGAACAAUUCUACUCUUCAUUGAGCCGGGAUUGCAAUCUAGAUCUUUUACUUUGAAAAAAUUAGAGUGUUUAAAGCAGGCUUUUGCUAUGAAUACAUUAGCAUGGAAUAAUAAUUUAGGACUUCGGUUCUAUUUUGUUGGUUUCUAGAGCGGAAGUAAUGAUUGAUAGGGAUAGUUGGGGGUGCUAGUAUUCAGUGGCCAGAGGUGAAAUUCUCGGAUUCACUGAAGACUAACUUAUGCGAAAGCAUU
rnacentral:rRNA from 1 species